AGAGUUUGAUCAUGGCUCAGGACGAACGCUGGCGGCGUGCCUAACACAUGCAAGUCAGGGAGAUAGGAGUAGCAAUACUCUGUGUAAACCGGCGAACGGGUGAGUAACACGUAGGCAACCUGCCUUGUAGACGGGAAUAACCUCGGGAAACCGAGGCUAAUACUCGAUAUUGUCUCGAUACAGCAUUGUAAUGAGAUGAAAUGCCGCAAGGUGCUACAAGAUGGGCCUGCGUCCCAUUAGAUAGUUGGCGGGGUAAUGGCCCACCAAGUCGACGAUGGGUAGCUGGUCUGAGAGGACGAUCAGCCACACUGGAACUGAGACACGGUCCAGACUUCUACGGAAGGCAGCAGUGAGGAGUAUUGCUCAAUGGGCGAAAGCCUGAAGCAGCGACGCCGCGUGAGGGAUGAAAUCCGUUAGGAUGUAAACCUCUUUUGCAGGGGAAGAAUGUUCCGACUUCGGUCGGAAUUGACGGUACUCUGCGAAUAAGCACCGGCAAACUACGUGCCAGCAGCCGCGGUAAUACGUAGGGUGCGAGCGUUGUCCGGAAUUACUGGGUGUAAAGGGUCCGCAGGCGGACUUGUAAGUCGAUGGUGAAAUUUUCCGGCUCAACCGGAAACCUGCUGUCGAUACUAUAAGUCUUGAGUUGGAGAGAGGAUAAUAGAAUUCAUGGUAGCGGUGAAAUGCGUAGAGAUCAUGAAGAAUACCGGUAGCGAAGGCGGUUAUCUGGCUCCAAACUGACGCUCAGGGACGAAAGCGUGGGUAGCAAACAGGAUUAGAUACCCUAGUAGUCC
rnacentral:rRNA from 1 species